UAACGCGUGGAUAACCUGCCUCACACUGGGGGAUAGCAGCUGGAAACGGCUGGUAAUACCGCAUAUGACCACAGCACCGCAUGGUGCAGGGGUAAAAGAUUUAUCGGUGUGAGAUGGAUCCGCGUCUGAUUAGCCAGUUGGCGGGGUAACGGCCCACCAAAGCGACGAUCAGUAGCCGGCCUGAGAGGGUGAACGGCCACAUUGGGACUGAGACACGGCCCAAACUCCUACGGGAGGCAGCAGUGGGGAAUAUUG
rnacentral:rRNA from 1 species